rnacentral:rRNA from 1 species
UACAGAGGGGGCAAGCGUUGUUCGGAAUUACUGGGCGUAAAGGGCGCGUAGGCGGCCUGUUAAGUCGGACGUGAAAUCCCUCGGCUCAACCGGGGAACUGCGUCCGAUACUGGCGGGCUUGAAUUCGGGAGAGGGAUGUGGAAUUCCAGGUGUAGCGGUGAAAUGCGUAGAUAUCUGGAGGAACACCGGUGGCGAAGGCGGCAUCCUGGACCGGCAUUGACGCUGAGGCGCGAAAGCUAGGGGAGCAAGCAGG